GAUGAACGCUGGCGGCGUGCUUAACACAUGCAAGUCGAACGGACUUGACUUGAAACCUAGUGAUGGUCAAGUUAGUGGCGGACGGGUGAGUAACGCGUGGGUAACCUGCCGUAUACCGGGGGGAUAACACUUAGAAAUAGGUGCUAAUACCGCAUAAGCGCACAGAGCUGCAUGGCUCAGUGUGAAAAACUCCGGUGGUAUACGAUGGACCCGCGUCUGAUUAGCUAGUUGGCGGGGUAACGGCCCACCAAGGCGACGAUCAGUAGCCGGCCUGAGAGGGUGAACGGCCACAUUGGGACUGAGACACGGCCCAAACUCCUACGGGAGGCAGCAGUGGGGAAUAUUGCACAAUGGGGGAAACCCUGAUGCAGCGACGCCGCGUGAGUGAAGAAGUAUUUCGGUAUGUAAAGCUCUAUCAGCAGGAGAGAAAAUGACGGUACCUGACUAAGAAGCCCCGGCUAACUACGUG
rnacentral:rRNA from 1 species